rnacentral:lncRNA from 1 species
UUUAUUUUUUUUUUUCCUUAGGUGAUAAAAUUUUGAUAUGUCUCAAAGUGGGUUAAUUUUGAAAAAUUGCUCAUCAGUUUAAAUCAGAAAGACCUUUCCUAAAAUUUCUCUCAAAUAACUGGGGACAAAGGAAAAGCAUAAGUCACUUAGGUUCACUUUCACAUCACCUAACUUUAGACACCUACCUUGUAAACUACUCCCACUAUGUUCUUUUAUAUCAAUGAAUGCAUAUUGGCAUGCUCAUGGUGCAGUAAUAGUCUUUGAGAAAGGCAAAUUAAACUCUACAAGUGUGUGUUUCUAUUGUAUGUAACUACUGUCUUGUAGGGUAUCUAACAGGCAGGUCUCUGCUGCAGGGUCAUGUUUAUCCUUUCUGUGCCAUUUCAGUCCACAGCUCUUGUAGCCUUAGCGGUGUCUUGAGAUAAACAGUGUCCGUUGUUACUGUCACUGUCACAACUUUAUUCUGAGUCUUGUAUUUUUUCACUAAAAUCCUGCAUUGAAUGAUAAUUUCACUUUCAUUUAAAGAAACCACUUCAAAACACUAUAAAAAUGGAGAAAGCUUAGUCUUGUGAUCUGUAAUCUAAUGCCCCAGUAAUUUACUGAGAAUCAACUUGUACUUUUUGUGCUUUUUGGUGAGCAACACUACUGGUCAAUCUAAACUAAAUUUCUGUUUGUUUGAGUUCUUCCCAGGGAGAAGUUGCACCUGUCUAUCAGGUUUUAGCUGUUGCUGUGUCUCAUAGCUAAUUUCAUUUGCACCGUCAGAUGGAGAAAACUAAGAAGCAGGUGUUUGAAGUCUAAAGAUGUAAUUUGCCUGUAUGGUUGAGUAGGUUUCUAGUAGCACAGAACAGUCGCUAGCAGCCUGUACAUCCUCAGUCCUUACAAGGUUUCCAGCAUCAUGUUGAGCAGGACCCAACUGUAUCACAAAUAAGUGAACAGUAUGGGUUGUGCAUGUGGUGCCUGACAGCAGUAUAUGCUGCAAGAAAAGCAACGUAACAAAGAAAAAUAAAAAAUAAUAUUCCUAUUAACUCUGUAAAAUUGAACACCCCGCAAAUUGUCUGGAGGAUGAUUUUUGUGAAGAAACCUGUAUGGGAUUUCUGAAGCUUGUGCAGUUGUGACAAUGAUGAGGUAGUUAGCAUAUGAUAUGCAUAAAUUCUCAGCGUACAGGUUAGUAAUGAUAUUGCAGUAUCGAAAAUUGUGAUACGUGAAAAA